CACGGGUGAGUAACACGUAUCCAACCUGCCGUCUACUCUUGGACAGCCUUCUGAAAGGAAGAUUAAUACAAGAUGGCAUCAUGAGUCCGCAUGUUCACAUGAUUAAAGGUAUUCCGGUAGACGAUGGGGAUGCGUUCCAUUAGAUAGUAGGCGGGGUAACGGCCCACCUAGUCUUCGAUGGAUAGGGGUUCUGAGAGAAAGGUCCCCCACAUUGGAACUGAGACACGGUCCAA
rnacentral:rRNA from 1 species